GGAGUUUGUGGUUCCCAGGAAUCUGAAUGACUCCACUGCUGUGACAAUGCUGUCCAUGAUGGAGGAAAGUCUCAACCAUGAAAUCAUGGAUCCUUGCAGCUGAUAUCUUAGAUGCAGCACUCACAGAAGAGUUCCAAUGAUUACACUCGGAAAAACCAGCACAGAGGCCCAGGGGAAGACCACCUCAGUUUCAGAUUAGUUCGCCUGUGUAACUAGCUUUCCCGGUUUUGACCAUUUUUGCCUGUUUGUGCAUUUGUCUUAGAAUUACAUUUGGAUUUGUUAUUUGUGACUGCUGUACUUGUCAUUAAAUCUGCACAUGGAUCCCACAUGUUCUGUUCUGGGGCUUCAUUAAUUACUAAUUACGUAAUCCUGUUAUAUUCCAGUUAAACCAUAGAAACAUGUGUUAAAAACAAUAAAUAUUAAACUUCACUAUUAUAAAUACUAAACUUUUGUUAAUUACCUAUUGGGAUGGAUGGAGUGAUAUUAAUAUUAAUUCAUUUGAAGACAGAGGAGUUACACAUAUGAAACAAUGGUCAUCAUAAUUUAAAUACAGUAAUCAGUCAGAUGAACUCUGCACUUUGUUCCAUGACCUUGCUCUAAAAGGUCAAGUGGACCAAAUAAUUCCAGUUAAAUAAUGUUGUCCCUACAGUAUAAAAGGGUCACAAUUGUUGUCCUUUAAUUUGUCACCUUUCUGUAUUUGUGAUAAUAAUGGCUCUAUAAAUUUAAUAAACAUCACAGCUGUUCAGUGAGAGGCAAGGGUGAAGACCGAAGGACAAUUUUUGAACUGGGAAGAUAUUCAAACAUCAGGAGAUGUUUCUUGUGUGACACAAUGGUUAAUGAAACACCAUUUUUGGGCCAUCAUUUGGGACUGAACCAGCUGAUAUUAAUUUCCACAAAAAAAGAGGUGUGUGUGUGUGUGUGUGUGUGUGUGUGUGUGUGUGUGUGUGUGUGUGUGUGUGUGUGUGUGUGUGUGUUCUUCAUGUGUUCAAUACUUUUUCCCUGUGUCAUUAUAUUUUUUUUACACAUAACUUAAUUUUACAACAUUGUUUUGCUUUCUUUGUAUGUUUGCAUUAAUUGGAUUGUUACUAACAUCUGGUGAACUGUUCAUGUCAGCAGCACCUUUAGAAAUAUAUUUAAUAUUCAUUUUA